GUCCAGGGAUGGGAACCGAACCCACAGUGUAUAUAUGUAUAUAUUUUUAAAACCGGGCAGAUGCCAUGUCCACUAAGCUACCCUGGA